rnacentral:rRNA from 1 species
AUUGAACGCUGGCGGCAUGCCUUACACAUGCAAGUCGAACGGUAACAGGUCUUCGGAUGCUGACGAGUGGCGAACGGGUGAGUAAUACAUCGGAACGUGCCCAGACGUGGGGGAUAACGAGGCGAAAGCUUUGCUAAUACCGCAUACGAUCUAAGGAUGAAAGCAGGGGACCGCAAGGCCUUGCGCGUUUGGAGCGGCCGAUGGCAGAUUAGGUAGUUGGUGGGAUAAAAGCUUACCAAGCCGACGAUCUGUAGCUGGUCUGAGAGGACGACCAGCCACACUGGGACUGAGACACGGCCCAGACUCCUACGGGAGGCAGCAGUGGGGAAUUUUGGACAAUAGGCGAAAGCCUGAUCCAGCAAUGCCGCGUGCAGGAUGAAGGCCUUCGGGUUGUAAACUGCUUUUGUACGGAACGAAAAGGCUCUGGCUAAUACCUGGGGCACAUGACGGUACCGUAAGAAUAAGCACCGGCUAACUACGUG